GAUGAAGAACGUAGCGAAAUGCGAUACGUAAUGUGAAUUGCAGAAUUCAGUGAAUCAUCGAAUCUUUGAACGCAUAUUGCGCUCUCUGGUAUUCCGGAGAGCAUGCUUGUUUGAGUAUCAGUAAACACCUCAACUCCCUUUUCCUUUUUGAAAUUGGAGCUGGACUUGAGUGAUCCCAACGCUUUCUUCCAAGAAAGUGGCGGGUUGCUUGAAAUGCAGGUGCAGCUGAACUUUUCUCUGAGCUAUAAGCAUAUCUAUUUAGUCUGCCUAAAAAACAGAUUAUUACCUUUGCUGCAGCUAACAUAAAGGAGACUAGUUCUUGUGCUGACUGAUGCAGGAUUCACAGAGACAGCUUCGGCUGACUUUGUAAACUCGAUCUCAAAUCAAGUAAGACUACCCGCUGAACUUAAGCAUAUCAAUAAGCGGAGGA
rnacentral:misc_RNA from 1 species